ensembl:lncRNA
CUCUGCCUGCAGUCGUUUGUGCAGCACCAAAGCCCCCCCCCAGGCUCCCCCGUGCCCACCUCCGGGAAUGCUGGGGUGGCUGCAGCGAGCCAAGAGCUCCUCCACUCUCAACAUCUCCAUCACCAUCGCUGCUGUCAACAUCUCUGUUGCCUUGUGCUGUUCCUGGGGAAGGAGAUGGUCACGGACCGAGCAGUGGGUGUGUUGAGCUGGGGGCACUGGGAAGCCCACUGCAGGGCACUGGGAGGCUAUUGAGGGCCGCAGGCAGCACUGGGGGGCACUGAGUUUGCACAAGAAGACUCUAGACAAUACUGGGAGGCAAUGGGAGCUUAGUGGGGAGCUAAGCAAUCCAUUUCUUCCGUGGGGGAGACUUUCUCCCUGGGGCUGACCCCCCCCCAACCACAGCACCGCUUGGCUCUGCCCUGGGCGCUAUGGUCCACGCAUUCCCACCCUGAUGCUGUCUCUCAGUGACACAUUUGUCACCCACAGACUCACCGUGGGUCCUGAGCUGGGCUGGGGGGCGUCCUGUGAAAGCAACCCCAGUGACAGCCCUGAGCCCUAUACGGCACAGAUCCCGGAAAACCACCGGGUUUCAUGCUGCCCAAAUCAGCUUCAGCUCAUCACCCUGGGACUCCAGCGGGGGGCUCUGUGGAAGCUUCCCCUGUUUCCAGCUGCUGCUACCCCGUGCUUGUUGACCAUGCUUCAUGCUCUGGCAGACACCUGGAAAGGUCAACUCUGCCAUGGCCUAGGAAGAGCUCUGCUCUUUCUUUCUUAGCAAUGCCUCUGAACAUCUUGAAAGCCAGGAGGAAGAGGCCAUGACUGAAAGGCAGAGAGAUUCUGGCAGCACAAGGGACCGUUUCACAACAACAAGCUCCACACAGUCUACGGGAACACCAUUUCUUAGCUGCUUUCCUCCCUGCCCCAAUGCCCGUCACACUUCAUCAUCUCCACUUGACAGGCUGGAGCAGCAGCAAGUCGUACUGCUGGGUUUCUGAAGGCCCUUUUAACCUCCAGAGGGAAGAAAACAGCCCCAACAAAAAGGGGGCAGCGGGGCUCUCCCUAGGACACCACUGGUCUCAGCAGAGUUCACAGGGACUUCAAACGCACAAAGCACCCACAAAAGCAUCCCAACAGCUCCAACAAGGAAGCAAAACAAACCCAGGACGCUCUGCAGGGCUCCCAGCUCUUAGGAGCUGACACCUGCUAAGAGAUGC